GCAUCGGAUGUUCAGUGGUAGAAUGUUCGCCUGCCACGUGGGCGGUUUGGGUUCGAUUCCCGGCCCGUGCA